rnacentral:lncRNA from 1 species
AAUAAUGAUCAACAAGGGCUUUCAUAAGGUUGUAAUGAGGGCUCUUUGGUGAGGUGAGGUGUUUUUAGGCAAAUGACUCAUAUCCCACAAUCUAACAAUCACAAUGAACAAGUCAAAUUCACCAUUUCUCUUUUCUAAUCAAUCAAAAACCAAUAUCCCCACAUUUCUUCUUUUCACCCUUAGUGAUACUUAUCAUGACUAUGAUUCAAAAGGCAAAUCACUC